rnacentral:rRNA from 1 species
UACGUAGGGGGCAAGCGUUGUCCGGAUUUAUUGGGCGUAAAGAGCGUGUAGGCGGCCAUACAGGUCCGUUGUGAAAACUGGAGGCUUAACCUCCAGACGUCGAUGGAAACCGUAUGGCUAGAGUCCGGAAGAGGAGAGUGGAAUUCCUGGUGUAGCGGUGAAAUGCGCAGAUAUCAGGAAGAACACCCGUGGCGAAGGCGAAUCUCUGGACAGUUCCUGACGCUGAGGCACGAAGGCCAGGGGAGCAAACGGG